rnacentral:rRNA from 1 species
AGAGUUUGAUCCUGGCUCAGGACGAACGCUGGCGGCGUGCCUAACACAUGCAAGUCGAACGAGAAAUUUCAAUCUGAUUUCUUCGGGAUGAAGAUUGAGAUGGACAGUGGCGGACGGGCGAGUAACGCGUGAGUAACCUGCCCAUAAGUGAGGGAUAGCCCUUGGAAACGAGGAGUAAUACCUCAUAUUGUAUAUGAGUUGCAUGACUUAUAUAUGAAAGAUUUAUCGCUUAUGGAUGGACUCGCGUCAGAUUAGCUAGUUGGUGAGGUAACGGCUCACCAAGGCGACGAUCUGUAGCCGAACUGAGAGGUUGAUCGGCCGCAUUGGGACUGAGACACGGCCCAGACUCCUACGGGAGGCAGCAGUGGGGAAUAUUGCGCAAUGGGGGAAACCCUGACGCAGCAACGCCGCGUGCAGGAAGAAGGUCUUCGGAUUGUAAAUUGUUGUCGCAAGGGAAGAAGAACAGUGACGGUACCUUGUGAGAAAGUCACGGCUAACUACGUGCCAGCAGCCGCGGU